UACGAAGGGGGCUAGCGUUGUUCGGAAUCAUUGGGCGUAAAGCGCACGUAGGCGGUCUGUUAUGUCGGAUGUGAAAGCCCUUGGCUCAACUGAGGAAGUGCAUCCGAAACUGGCAGGCUAGAGUACUAAAGAGGAUCGCGGAAUUCCCGGUGUAGAGGUGAAAUUCGUAGAUAUCGGGAGGAACACCGGUGGCGAAGGCGGCGAUCUGGGUAGAUACUGACGCUGAGGUGCGAAAGCGUGGGGAGCAAACAGG
rnacentral:rRNA from 1 species